CCCAGCCCCUGGCAGCACCAUGACGUCAGGGGCCAUCUUCCUGCUCCUGGGGCUCCUGGCCCUCUGGGCCCAGCUGCCGCCUGCGUCUGGAGGGAGCCGUGGGAGCUGCCCAAAGCCGCUCGGCGCUGGGCUCUGCGCAGAGUUAUGCACCAGCGACGGUUCCUGUCCUGAAGGAGAAAAGUGCUGCAGUAACGGGUGUGGCCACCAGUGCAUCAGAGUGUCUGGAGGGUCUCCCUAACGCCUGUCUGCCUGAACCCAGGUGCCAGAGGGGACAUGCCGCCCCCAUGACCCACACAAGACAAUUGCCGAGAACUGAUCAGCCUGCAAAGGCCCCACUUCCAGGGACCUUCCCCGCUCCCCUCACUCUGCCCAGCCCCUUUGGCUGCUCCAACUGCCCUCGGGCUACAUCUGCCACCUGACAUCACCGGUGCCUCCAUGCACAGGAGGCUGGUUGGGCAUGGCGGGGGAGCGAGCAUGUGCCCGGCCGCUGCCCGGCUCUGCCUCGGAGCAGCAC